AUCCCACGAAGACUCCAUGUUUUGGAAUACAACGUUUGACUCUUCAUCUUAUUUGAAAAAAAAUAUGAUUACUAUUUUUAUUGUUAUUAGAUAAUAAAACAUAAAUCAUACUUUAUGCAUGACUAAUUAUUUUUAAUUUCAUAAAAUUUAAAUAGGUCAAAUGGUCAAACGUUGAAUACAUAAACCUAU
rnacentral:pre_miRNA from 1 species